GUACUUACCUGGCAGGGGAGAUACCAUGAUCACGAAGGUGGUUUUCCCAGCACUAGGCUUAUCCGUUGCACUCCGGAUGUGCUUACCCCUGUGAUUUCCCCAAAUGUGGAAAAUUUGACUGCAUAAUUUGUGGUAGUAUGGGACUAUGUUCCCUCUCUCCCCUG
ensembl:snRNA U1 U1 spliceosomal RNA